AGUGAACGCUGGCGGUAGGCCUAACACAUGCAAGUCGAACGGCAGCACAGUAAGAGCUUGCUCUUACGGGUGGCGAGUGGCGGACGGGUGAGGAAUACAUCGGAAUCUACUUUUUCGUGGGGGAUAACGUAGGGAAACUUACGCUAAUACCGCAUAUGACCUACGGGUGAAAGCAGGGGAUCUUCGGACCUUGCGCGAUUGAAUGAGCCGAUGUCGGAUUAGCUAGUUGGCGGGGUAAAGGCCCACCAAGGCGACGAUCCGUAGCUGGUCUGAGAGGAUGAUAGGCCACACUGGAACUGAGACACGGUCCAGACUCCUACGGGAGGCAGCAGUGGGGAAUAUUGGACAAUGGGCGCAAGCCUGAUCCAGCCAUACCGCGUGGGUGAAGAAGGCCUUCGGGUUGUAAAGCCCUUUUGUUGGGAAAGAAAAGCAGCAGGUUAAUACGCCGCUGUUCUGACGGUACCCAAAGAAUAAGCACCGGCUAACUUCGUG
rnacentral:rRNA from 1 species